UACGGAGGGAGCUAGCGUUGUUCGGAAAUACUGGGCGUAAAGCGCACGUAGGCGGCGCAGCAAGUCAGGGGUGAAAUCCUGGAGCUCAACUCCAGAACUGCCUUUGAUACUGACGAUCUCGAGUCCGGGAGAGGUGAGUGGAACUGCGAGUGUAGAGGUGAAAUUCGUAGAUAUUCGCAAGAACACCAGUGGCGAAGGCGGCUCACUGGCCCGGUACUGACGCUGAGGUGCGAAAGCGUGGGGAGCAAACAGG
rnacentral:rRNA from 1 species